GGAAAGAGCAACAUGCUUUUUAGACUUCAGAAAGUGGAAAAAAUAUACAAGCUCAUAACAAGCCAAAAUUGCUAACUUAUAUCUGGUUCAUGGGGAACAAUUCAUAAGAAUGUAAGAUACCAAGAAACAUCUUUGAGACGAAGAACACACAGAGUUCAACACUAAGCCCAGUCCCUUGACAUCUGAUGAACCAAAUGGUUUCCAUAACUGUGUGUGGCCUUCUGUCACAUACAAUUCAGGGCUGAAUUCAGAGUAACAGUAGUGACUUGCUGCAUCUUGGCUAUGUUAUGGAACAUCAGAAUAUUUUUAACAGGUCUCUGUUUUAUGUGUAAAUAUUUUGUGUAAAAAGUAAGAACUAAUCAAAGGUUUGGCCAAAUGCAGCUUUUCUACAGGGAGCUACUUCUAUUAUGACUAAAAGUUUGAUUAACAUCUUGGGGAUCCAAAUCUGCAAAUAUUUAUGUAAGUAAGUCGAAACAAAUAUACACAUGCAAAACAGUGUGCUUCGUGUUUUAUGCAGCUGUUGAGAUUUAUCUUGUAAAACUUGAUACCCUUCCAGGAUAGUUAUGACUUGGGAUAAGGUUUGGCAGUGUCACAUAAAGGACUGCUUGUUAGUGUUGGAGCAAAGAGUAUCAGCAGCAAAAAUAAAAAUGGGAAAAUACAGAAAUCCUUAUUUAGUGAAAGCAAGGUUAGGGUUCAUCCUCUAACAUGAAACUCUGGCACAGUAAAGUCCUAAGUGUAUACAAAAAGAUCCUUAUUUUGAAUAAGAAUUUAGAGGCAUUAAUGUUGAUCAACAUUCUAUCUAGCAAGGUCCCUAGUAAAAUAACUAUUGAAUCUGUUUGUCUACUUUAAACAAAGGGAACAGGGAGGUAGAGGACUCAUAUAAAUGGUGUGUCUACCAAUACUGUGAAAUAAGACAGCCAAGAGGGGGUAGUGAGAAAUUUAGUGCUCUUCCACCUCCUUUGUUUUCCCCAAAAGAGGAGCUUACAGUAUGAGCUCAAACCUUCUCAGACAUCAAAGAAUCUGCAUGAGAGAAAAGGCAUUAUAAAUGUCUUAGAUGAUAUAAAACUUGCACUGUGGGAAUGAUUUCUGCAAGAGCAAUUAUGUGUCAGAGAAUUUACAAAUUCUUAAAGAAAUAGCUUUUAUUACUUUUGCUGCUUACUGACUGUUUUUUAUUUCAUAAGCCCAGUUAAAUCAUGCAUCUUCAGUGCUGACCAUUUCUCUGAAGUAUGUCCCAAAUUACUAUAAUGAAUACAUGAGUAAGAAUAUACUUACUCUGCAACUCUCUGGGUGUAAUAUCAUAAACAGACCUGAACUCCUCCAUCUGCUGAGCUGACAAGAUGUAUAUCAGCUUUGAUUUUGGAGCUAGAUAGUAUUGUGUUGAUGCUAACAGAUAGUUAUCCAAUUAAAAAAUGGAGAGCAUUUUAACCACUAGCAGAACAGCACACUAAUACAAGUUCACAACUUUGAGACCAAAGCUGACUUUGCUCUCUGAAUUAGCAUUCUGCUAAUUCAAAGAGAGCAGGCAGAGGAAAUGGGAUCUGCCUCUAUCCCUGUACCUGGAUACUCACUGCACCAGCUCUGAGCUGAAGAUCCUAAUCCUAUCUUAAAGAGAAGUCAGAAAGAGACACUGUUACUAAAGGGAAAAAUUCUGUUUCUGUUACUCAAACCUAACAACAUUUUAGGUAGGAAUAUAUGUAAACCAUGAGUUUUUAAUCUCAAGCGACAGAUAAACCUUUCAGAAAAUUAUAGCUCAGUUUAGAGACUUAAGGAUUCAGAUAAAUAAAGAGAUGCAAUCAUAUUGGUGCCACCAAAAAUCUGGAUUUAUGCAGACUGAAAAACAUAAAUACAACACUGAACAGGUUGCUGCUAUCAUGAGGCUGCUAGCACCACAUGCCUGUCUUCUCUCCCUGCUCAUACACAUACACUUCUUCACUCCUACCACAAUCAGCAUAGGACAGGAUGCUCUUUUGAAAAAAAAGACAACUCAGAGUAUAAUCUCUUAUUAGCUUUGUUAAUGUUUGCAAUUAUUAAAAAUGAGGAUACUAAAUCACUGAGUGAGUUUGCUUUCUUUGUCCCUUUGGCAACAAGGCAUGUAACAAUUUCCAUUUUCUACCCCUUGUAUUUUUGCACUCUUUUAGGCAAAUAAAAGCUCACACCACACACUGCACCCCAGCUUGCCAAGUUGUGGUCAAACUCUCCUCCUACUCUCAUACUGAAACAGUGCUGCCAUGCCAGUAUAUUCUGUCCUGAAGAAGAAAUUAAGUAUACCAAAAAAAAGAAGAGGAAAUAUAGUUCAGGAAACUUGAACAGCUUAAGGCCUCUAAAAUGAGCAGGACUCACAGAACACUAUGAAAGACACAUCAGAGGAGGUGCCAGGAAGAUAUAAAUAGGGCAAAAGAAGUAUGACAUCGUAAAAGAAAAUGGGAAGCCUCAAAAGGAUGGAGAGACAUCACCACAGGAAAGCAGAUGGAGGCAGCAUGCAGCCACAGUCAGAAGCCUAAACUGAAACAGAGGAAAGAGACAAAGAAGGAUAAAUAGAGACAGAAGAUGGAAGUCAAACCUGACAGACAGUUGGACCUUAUCAAGUGACCGCUUGGCAGUUCAAGGAUGGCCCGUCUAGGCUACUGAGCAGCACACUGCUUUCUUCCAUUAACCAAACUGUGCCUUGAAAUGACAGCAAGACAUCAACAAAUACCUAUCAACAAGCUCUAUUUAGAAAAAUAAUUCUAAUUUCCACAGAUGUAGACUUUCUGCACAGGGGACGGAAGGCAAAGAGGAGAACCCAGCAUCAGGGGAAGAAACCCCUUACAAGAUGAAGACAAGACAAUACAGAAAACAGUUUGUCUCCAUAGACUUUAUCUAAAUUACCUAAGCAGAGGGCCUCUUCCUGCAGCCUUUUUGGUGCUUCAUGCUUUUCAUCUUAACUUUAAGCAGGACUUUAGCUUAAGAUCAGGUUUGUAUCAUAAUCUGGUACAAAUAUCUUUGUUGUACAGUAUUCAUCAAUCAGUAAUAUUCUUACUUAUUGAAAGCCUUUUGGAAGCUAUGCAUUUCCCUUUAUAUUUACACAAAAUCUGUAAUAUACCUACAAAACAUGUGUAUGCAAACAAAAUGCCACAUUGCUUAAAAUGAAAAGUUUCCAAAACUUCUCUGCUAGCCUAAAAUAUGCAUUUUAGGAGUUCAGAGGAUUUCUGAUGUCUCUUCCUUUUUAUCCCAUUCCUUUCUAUAACUGGAUAUUUAUAUAACCAAAGACAUUGCUGAACUUUUAGAUAUGACAUGAGACUUCAAGUGAAUGACAAUCCCUUCCAUAAAUACAUACUAUGUUAAAUAGUUGUGUAUUUGACUGAAAACUCAGGAUAUUCAUCUCUCUUUUAAGCUCUACAGCAAAAAGACACAACAGAGAGACACACAAUGGCAGGUGGAAAACCUGCAGUUACCGGCAACUCCAAAGUUACAGAAGAAAACAUCUAAGUCACAUAGUUAAAAUGCUCAGCAAUGUAGAAGAAAAACAUUCACUUCAUCAGCAUGUUGAAGACAUUAUGAACAAAUUAAAAUAAUUUAACCUCCUACCUGUUUUAGGAUUUCCUACUCACUGUGUCACCUUCAAUAUAAUUAACACAUAACAUCAUACUGACUUUGGCUUCAAAUUUCCCAACUUUAGCACAAAAUAGAAAAUUAAGUUCAUUUAAAGGCAAAAGGCUUCACAAGACAUAUGUAGUCAGAAAGAAGAUCCAAAAAACUUAAAAGUACUCAAAGAACUGAAGCCACUUCAUUACAUUUAUAGAGAAGACAGCCCAAUUUGAGAACAGUGUGCUUCAGUUUCAAAAUGCUGAGGGGAAAUCUCAGCAGCUAAACUAUGAAAAUUGCACUUAAUUUCUGGAAAAAUAAUUUUCUUUUUACUCCAAGAGCCAGAAUAGAAGUUAUGGUUAAAGAAGUCCUGAUUCUAGAUUAUGUGUACCAGGAGAAAACCCAGCAUGCAUGUUAAGAUUUGCAAUGGGAAAGGAAGACUUUUUAGAUAGGUCAGUUUUAGUAGAAGACAACUGAAAAAAACCUCACAUGCAUCCUGCAUUUAGUACCUGAUUUCAAAAGUAGUCUCUUUCUUUGAAGAAUGCUGUAGGGCAGCAAAGAUGUUUGAAGAACCAAAUCCACUCUAAAGGAUUUGAGCAAAUUUGUAGAUGCCUUUGCUAAAAUCCUGUAUCAGUUUUUCAUUAAAAGCAACAUUUUUCCCCAAAUGCCUCUGUUUUGUGCUUUUUUUUUUCCUUAAUCCCAGGGUCUCCAAAAUAUAACUGUCAAAAACUCAAAACUGUCUUCUUUCUAGUCUAGUGGUGGGUCUCCAGAUAGUAAGGAAGCUUCUUACGACGUUUGGUAAAAGCUGGGUUUUCCACUAGCUCUAUUUUUACCUUGUCAUAGUGAGAAUCAAUGAGAUGAACCACAAAUCAAGGGUUCUCUCCAAUCUGCAAACUCUUCCUUCUCCCUAUUACAGAUAGGACUGAACAGCUCUAAGGCAAUGGCAAUGUGUGGGAGAUGAGAGCAUACCUUACAUUCAAGGGUUGCCAGCACAGCUACAAAGUGCAAGAUGAAACCAGCACACAGCUGCACCUUCUGGAAGGGUUCUCAGUAAAAAGAUAUAGAGU